GACGAACGCUGGCGGCGUGCUUAACACAUGCAAGUCGAACGGAAAGGCCCUGCUUUUGUGGGGUGCUCGAGUGGCGAACGGGUGAGUAACACGUGAGUAACCUGCCCUUGACUUUGGGAUAACUUCAGGAAACUGGGGCUAAUACCGGAUAGGAGCUCCUGCUGCAUGGUGGGGGUUUGAAAGUUUCGGCGGUUGGGGAUGGACUCGCGGCUUAUCAGCUUGUUGGUGGGGUAGUGGCUUACCAAGGCUUUGACGGGUAGCCGGCCUGAGAGGGUGACCGGGCACAAUGGGACUGAGAGACGGCCCAGACUGCAACGGGAGGCAGCAGUGGGGAAUAUUGCACAAUGGGCGGAAGUCUGAUGCAGCAACGCCGCGUGCGGGAUGAAGGCCUGCGGGUUGUAAACCGCUUUCGCCUGUGACGAAGCGUGAGUGACGGUAAUGGGUAAAGAAGCACCGGCUAACUACGUG
rnacentral:rRNA from 1 species